rnacentral:rRNA from 1 species
UGCGUAGGUGGUCGGGUAAGUCUGAUGUGAAAUCUCUGGGCUCAACCCAGAAAUGGCAUUGGAUACUAUUCGGCUGGAGGGUUGGAGGGGGGACUGGAAUUCUCGGUGUAGCAGUGAAAUGCGUAGAUAUCGAGAGGAACACCAGUGGCGAAGGCGAGUCCCUGGACAACUCCUGACACUAAGGCACGAAAGCUAGGGGAGCAAACA